AUGCAAGAAGGGACUGCUGAAUGGGAAAAAAUUGCAAAUGAAGCAGCAAGAACGAUUCCUGGAAGAGAGAAUGAGGGUAACUGUGACAUAAAGAAUCUAAGCAGAGGUUCCAAAGUUUAUCUACCAGUAUUUGUUGAAGGAGCAAAUUUGAGUACUGGUGAUAUGCACUUCUCCCAAGGUGAUGGUGAAGUCUCAUUUUGUGGAGCAAUAGAAAUGAGUGGAUUCCUUGAGCUAAAGUGUGAAAUUAUAAGAGGUGGCAUGAAGGAAUACUUGACUCCUGUUGGUCCAACACCUCUUCAUGUAAAUCCUAUCUUUGAGAUAGGUCCGGUGGAGCUGCGUUUCUCGGAAUGGUUAGUCUUCGAGGGCAUCAGUGUGGAUGAGUCGGGGAAACAACAUUUCCUUGAUGCAUCAGUUACCUACAAGCGUGCAGUUCUCAACGCCAUUGAGUACCUUUCUAGAUUUGGGUACUCCAAGGAGCAGGUCUAUAUUUUACUGUCAUGUUGUCCAUGUGAAGGUAGGAUAUCUGGAAUAGUAGACGCCCAUAAUGCAGUGGCGACACUUGCCAUACCUACAGCGAUAUUCGACCAGGAUAUAAAGCCAAAACGCCUGGGGAAUGGACCAAAGUUGAGAAGAUUUCCGGAUGUUCUGAGAUGA
rnacentral:rRNA from 1 species